CAGAGUUCGUGCCCUUUAGGGUAUAUCUCCCACCAUUUGUCUAUAAUACCUUUGUUGCUUUGGCAGGCCUGUUUUAUAACUACUGGCCUUGGCUGGUUAGUGCCCGCCAAAGGACCCCUAAACUCUGAAUAUUAGUGUUGUCUGAGUACUAUAUAAUAGUUA
rnacentral:misc_RNA from 1 species